AGAGCGAACGCUGGCGGCAGGCCUAACACAUGCAAGUCGAGCGCCCGUAGCAAUACGGGAGCGGCAGACGGGAUAGUAACACGUGGGAACGCGCCCUUCGGUUCGGAAUAACUCAGGGAAACUUGAGCUAAUACCGAAUACGCCCUUACGGGGAAAGAUUUAUUGCCGAAGGAACGGCCCGCGUCCGAUUAGCUAGUUGGUGAGGUAAUGGCUCACCAAGGCUACGAUCGGUAGCUGGUCUGAGAGGGUGACCGGCCACACUGGGACUGAGACACGGCCCCAGACUCCUACGGGAGGCAGCAGUGGGGAAUAUUGCACAAUGGGCGCAAGCCUGAUGCAGCAACGCCGCGUGAGGGACGACGACCUUCGGUUGUAACCUCUUUAGUAGGGAAGAAGCGAAAGUGACGGUACCUGCAGAAAAAGCACCGGCUAACUACGUGCCAGCAGCCGC
rnacentral:rRNA from 1 species